rnacentral:rRNA from 1 species
GGUGAACGCUGGCGGCGUGCUUAAGACAUGCAAGUCGAACGGCAGUCUUCGGACUGUAGUGGCGCACGGGUGAGUAACGCGUAACUGACCUACCCCAAAGUCGCGGAUAACGAUUCGAAAGAAUCGCUAAUACGUGAUGUGCUGUCAGAUUGUGUUCUGCCAGUAAAGAUGGAUUGCUUUGGGAUGGGGUUGCGUUCCAUCAGCUAGUUGGUGGGGUAAAGGCCCACCAAGGCGACGACGGAUAGCCGGCCUGAGAGGGUGGCCGGCCACAGGGGCACCGAGACACGGGUCCCACUCCUACGGGAGGCAGCAGUUAGGAAUCUUCCACAAUGGGCGAAAGCCUGAUGGAGCGACGCCGCGUGAGGGAUGAAGGUCUUCGGAUCGUAAACCUCUGAAUCAGGGACGAAAGACACUUCGGUGGGAUGACGGUACCUGAGUAAUAGCACCGGCUAACUCCGUGCCAGCCGCCGCGGUAACAC